rnacentral:rRNA from 1 species
CGGACGGGUGAGUAACGCGUAAGAACCUGCCCUUGGGAGGGGGACGAACAGCUGGAGACGGUUGCUAAUACCCCAUAGGCUGAGGAGCAAAAGGAGGAAUCCGCCCAAGGAGGGGCUUGCGUCUGAUUAGCUAGUUGGUGAGGCAAUGGCUUACCAAGGCGACGAUCAGUAGCUGGUCUGAGAGGAUGAUCAGCCACACUGGGACUGAGACACGGCCCAG